AGUUCUGGUGUCAGCCGCCGCGGUAAAACCAGCACCUCAAGUGGUCAGGAGGAUUAUUGGGCCUAAAGCAUCCGUAGCCUGUUCUAUAAGUUUGCGGUUAAAUCUAUACGCUCAACGUAUAGGCUGCUGUAAAUACUGUAGAACUAGGGAGUGGGAGAGGUAGACGGUACUCGGUAGGAAGGGGUAAAAUCCUUUGAUCUAUUGAUGACCACCUGUGGCGAAGGCGGUCUACCAGAACACGUUCGACGGUGAGGGAUGAAAGCUGGGGGAGCAAACCGGAUUAGAUACCCGGGUAGUCCCAGCUGUAAACGAUGCAGACUCGAUGAUGCAAUGGCAUAGAGCUAUUGCAGUAUCGCAGGGAAGCCGUUAAGUCUGCCGCCUGGGAAGUACGUACGCAAGUAUGAAACUUAAAGGAAUUGGCGGGGGAGCACCACAA
rnacentral:rRNA from 1 species